rnacentral:lncRNA from 1 species
UUACAUGUGAAAAAUUACAGGUAGGGUCGGAUGCCUAUCUUAUAGAAUAGAAAAAGGAAAAAGAAAAGUUUUUAUUCACCAAACAAGGGCCCCUAGGAGGGCAUAUAGCAUACAAACAAUAAUAUCAUGAACAAUAACAUAUACAAUACACAGACAAUAGAUAUUUAACAUAAGUUAUAAAAAAGAUAUAAAAAAAUACUACAGAAA